UUCUGCUCUGCGGAAGUUCUAGAAAACGCACUCCAAGACCAAUGCAAAGCAAGCGGCGGGCAGCACUUAGCAGGGGUGACUCUCCUGUUGCCGAACCUGUCACUCAGCCUGGUGCUGCCAGAGUACCUCUCAGCUCGCCAAUACUGUCUGCUCAUUGCAACUAUUCAUUUCUACAGUGCUCAGGGCUCUGUGAGCUGGGACUGCCCUCAGCCACAUUGCAUGGGGUGAGGCACUCAGAGAAGGUGCUGAGUCUUGCCUAUGCUUUACCGUGCGCUGAGCUGCACCACCAACCCCAGGCGUGAAACUUUCCUCUUG
rnacentral:lncRNA from 1 species